CCUACGGGAGGCAGCAGCGGGGAAUAUUGCACAAUGGGCGCAAGCCUGAUGCAGCGACGCCGCGUGCGGGAUGGAGGCCUUCGGGUUGUAAACCGCUUUUGUUCAAGGGCAAGGCACGGUCUUUGGCCGUGUUGUGUGGAUUGUUCGAGUAAGCACCGGCUAACUACGUGGCAGCAGCCGCGGUUGUACGUAGGGUGCAUGCGUUAUCCGGAUUUUUUGGGGGUAAAGGGCUCGUAGGCGGUUGGUCGCGUUCGGUGUGAAAGUCCGUGGCUUAAGGGUGGAGGCGCGGGGGGUACGGGCAGGCUUGAGUGCGGUAGGGGAGAGUGGAAUUCCCGGUGUAACGGUGGAAUGUGUAGAUAUCGGGAAGAACACCGAUGGCGAAGGCAGGUCUCUGGGCCGUUACUGACGCUGAGGAGCGAAAGCGUGGGGAGCGAACAGGAUUAGAUACCCUUGUAGUC
rnacentral:rRNA from 1 species